rnacentral:misc_RNA from 1 species
ACUGACUAGAGGACCAAGUAAUCUGACAUUUUGGAAUCAUUAGAUGGAAGAGAACUAUUGAGUUCGAGGCAUAAGAGCAAAACAGGAUUAAUGAUAACUCUUGCUUGCAUAACUUGAGUUUUGAGCUCUGAAUUUGAAAACAACCUUCAACUAAAGAUUGACCAAAUGAACAAUUGAACUCUCUUUGCAAUUAGAACCAUUAGAAUAUGGAAGAGGACUUAUUUAUAGUGCCCAAGUGGCAUUCUUUCUUGCUGUUUGUUGGCUUUGAAGGUUUCUAAAUUUUGUUGCUUCCUACAUAUUGAUGAUGAAAUUGCUUUCUGUAUGUUUCUAAACUUGAUGAUGGAUGUGAAGUAAAUCAGUUAUGAUUAUUUCAGGAUAAUCUUGAUGAUAAAAUUGUUAUCUGUAUGUUUCUAAACUUUUGUUACUUCCUACAUAUUGAUGUGAGUUGUGAAAUAAAUACAUUUGAAACUUAAUCACUAGCAAAAAGAUUUUCAAAAUUAAGAUUUUCAAAAUUAAGAUUUUUCUUUGGUUUUUAAAAGAAAAAUCUUCUAAACCCAUAAAUUUAGCGGGUUAUACUUUUAAAAUUUUUAAAAAUUUUAUUUAAAAAAAUUUAUUUCAAG